CAGCCGCCGCGGUAAAACGUAGGUGGCAAGCGUUGUCCGGAAUUAUUGGGCGUAAAGCGCGCGCAGGCGGAUCAGUUAGUCUGUCUUAAAAGUUCGGGGCUUAACCCCGUGAGGGGAUGGAAACUGCUGAUCUAGAGUAUCGGAGAGGAAAGUGGAAUUCCUAGUGUAGCGGUGAAAUGCGUAGAUAUUAGGAAGAACACCAGUGGCGAAGGCGACUUUCUGGACGAAAACUGACGCUGAGGCGCGAAAGCCAGGGGAGCGAACGGGAUUAGAUACCCCUGUAGUCCCUGUCUCUUAUACA
rnacentral:rRNA from 1 species